UACCAAAUGUAGGAACUAUAAAUGGUUAGUCUUCAACAAGGAUCACAAACAACAUAUCUUACAUAUAACAUUACAAGAGUUGGCAUUAAAAAGAGAUCGCCCAUACCUGGGAACCCAUCUGUCCAGCAACAAAGACAGCAGCAACACCAAUUGAUAGAUCUGGUGCAGGAUGUGUUGACUGGUAACGCAUAAGAAUUCUUCUACUCACUCAAGACCUUAUGUUCCAAUGGUGAUAGAACCCCUGAUUACAGAACGUGUUCUUUGUGAGCAGGGAAUCCUUUAUUAUAUUGAACUGAACUUCUCCAACUUCCAUCUAUCAUGAUGAUUGGAUAGCAACUGCUAUGAACUGCAGCCAUCAGUUUCCUUUGACGUGGAGCAAUGCAAGCAUCCUUAUCACGUCCCAUAUCCCUUAAUUCUAGGAGAUCAGUUAUUGACAUGGCCAUGACUCCUAAUUGGUUUAAACCCACGUUUGGGUAUCCUUAUCAUGAUAUGUGUA
rnacentral:lncRNA from 1 species